rnacentral:lncRNA from 1 species
CUGUUACCAAGUCUUAAAACAAAAACAGAAAUUAAAUUGAUACACUCGAAAACCACACAAGAGGGCUUCUUUUAAACAUUACAUCAGACUCAGUCUUUGUUUUAUUGGAACUUACCAAAAGCACUCAAAAGCAUGAGCACCAUCGGCUAGGAGUCUUUAGAUUCCCCUUUUAGCACAAUCUCUAGGAAUUACGAUUUGAUACACCUCUUACUUGGCCUCGACCACCAUAUCCAUAGUCGCCGCCGCCGCCACCACCACGAGGUCCACUAUAACCGCCACAUGAAUGAACGUUACCGCAGAAAGCUUCUCUCAUUUGCCAAAACUCUAGCAUUUUCAUCACCCGUAUUCAUCUCAAUAAAGUUCGUCCAUGCAAAAUUCUUACGUCCAUUUAAUUAUGCUUACAUGGACAUGCUUCUUUUAAUGGAUUCUUAUAAACAAAUUUCCAAUUUCAACAAAGCUAUUUACAAUGGGCGUGAAAUCUUGCAACCUGCGAGAGUGAAAGAGGAGAUCAGAGCAAUAAUUAAGGAAAUACAAUCUCACAACAUCCAUUUAGAAGAAUUUCUCUCCAGAUUCAUACAAUAAACAUACAUAUAGCUCAAUUUCUCUCCAGAUUCAUCAAUUCCACUGCAGAUUUUAGAGAUUUAAAGUGAACUGAUCCAAAUAUUUCCAGAUUCAAAGGAAGAAAAAGAGAGAUUGAAGAAUCUAGAUGACAACCCCAGAAAUCCAGAUUUGAGGAAUCCAGAUGACAAUGUCGGAACCAGAAAAAGAGCGCUCGAGGAAUUCUUUGGAAACCAAGAAUCCUAGGGAAAUAAAACAACAUUCUCGCUCAAUGACAAAAGAGAGAUUACUGUUUUUGAACCCUUAAACUAAUGCCAAAAUGAUCUCCUCUUCUUCUCUUUAGCUGCUUAUAGAGACCGGGCGCUUGGUAAUGAGUUUCACUGCAUUGGUAAUGAGUUUCAAAUAUUAUUUUUAACAUUACAAGUAGAGAGAUCUAGGAUAUAAAUGAUUUACUAUCCAUCGGGAUUGUACUAUAUGGUUACGAAACAGCAUCAAAUGAUUUAGCGUCCACGCAAACAUGAACAUGUGGAUAUCCCAUCCUCUUAUAAACACUUUUGCAGUUUUUCGGUGUAUCAUUUCAAUAGUUUAAAAUGAUUUAAUGUCCAUAGGGAUUGUACUAUGUGGUUAUGAAUCAGUUCCAAAUGAUUUUGUAUCUUUGUAAUUUAGCUUUUCGUGUGACUCAGCUAAUCAAUCCUUCUUUCGUGCGUUGUAUCAAAACUUCAAGCAGCUUAGGAUCCAAAAACUUCAAGCAGCUUAGGAUAGACACUUGGUUUACAGUGUUGCAACAAAGCUCUGCCUAGGUUCUACUCUACCUGUCACCUAGAUUACAUAGCAAAACAUAACCAGCCAUAUCAAAGGUUAAUACUUUCAACUAAAAAACUACAGUUCGAAGAUAAUCCAGUAGAUACCAUAAGAGAGAUUCAGGUGAGAUGAUUUGCAACUGAUUUAUGUAUAUACCAUAAGAGAGAUGCAGAGUCAACACAAACAAGCUACACAAAGUAGUAACAAUAAAGAGUUAUAAGCGUUUAAGUAUAGCAAACAAACAAAACAGGAGAUAGCAAUACUGUAGGACAACUAGUUAGCAACUAAAAGGAGUAAAAACUUUUAAAGAUCAAGACCUUGAUAUCCUCACAAAGUCACAAACAUUCACAAAUUCGAAAUCCAAAUUUUGAGGUUUCAAGGGAAGAGAUAACUCGCGUAAUUGUAGACUUAGAAAUCAUCAAUGAAAAACGUGACACUUCCCAAAUCAAAGGUCAAAGCUUCAUCUAACCGAUGAACAAUCGCCUCAAAUUCCAAAAUCCAUCUCAAAUACAUAAAAAUAAGGUGAAGAUCAACAGGGUAUCGUCUUCCUUUUUUUUGUUUUAUUAUAGCCACAGUUUUACUUGCGUUGAAUAAUUCCGUUUAUCUAAAAGACAAGAAAUCAAACGACAACAUCAAUUACAUAUCCACUGCAUAUGCCAUGGAAUCAUCGAUUACAUAUCCUUCGGUUUGUUGCAUUUUUCCCAAUCGAACUUCAAGCAAAAACAAAAUCGAAACAAUCAAAUGUUGUAUGGGAAAGGAAUAAGAUCUGGAAAAACAAUGAAGCAAGAGAAUUACUUUUUAGGGUUGAGAAACAUAAUAGCUGGUUGACUUUUUAGCUGUGGCACAGAAGAAAUUGAAGAGACAACCCAUGGCUUCGAUGAAAUCGGAAGAGAGAAAAAGGAACAGCAAUGGAAGAAGCUACUGAGAUUUUCCGAGAAAGAUAGGAAAAGUCGAGAGUGAAAGAAUUGGUGGGUAUGAGUCAAUUGUUUUCAAAUUUGAAAUUAUCUGAUGGAAAUCACGGUAAUGAGAUAAGUCCAGAAAUGG